GACAGGAUGCAACAUCUGAUGCCUUUAUUGUUUGUGUCUCUGUGGGGUGUUGCAUAUGGUACUGUUUGGAUUGCACAGUGGUCAACCAGAGAAAAAUAUGAAAUUGGAGAUUCAGGAGUCCUUCAGUGCAACAUCAGAUCUCAUCAAGAAACUCUUAAGGGAUGUAAAAUAUAUUGGGUCAUAUUGGACCAAAGCAACAAAGAUAGGACAAAAGACAUUUUAAAAAUAAAGAAGUAUCAAAACAGAGUCCAAAUUCAUCAAAAUGGUACUUUUAGUGAAAUUACUCUUCACAAUCUUUCAACAAAUGACACAGAAGAGCUGUUUUGCACAGCAUCCUGUGUCAUUAAUGGACUACUGAAGCAGAUCUCUAGCAACGGGACUUCACUGAUUAUAACUGAACAGCAACCGGAGCCAGAACCUCCAUGGCUGAAAUAUCUCUUCUUCUCUCUUAAUCUGCUGGUCUUCUUAAUAGCCACCAUUAUCUGUGUAUUAAUCAUUCGAAAGAGGAUCCAAAACAAUUGGAACUAGUGACUGUAUCUAUAAUAUCCUGUAUUUUGUAUAACAUCGUGCAACACUCUCUACUUCUCUACUUUGUACAACUGUCAGUACUGCUUCCUGCAAGUGAUCCUAAAUUAAUACAGCUUGAGCAUAAUUAAAACCUGAAAUCUGUAGACUGUGACUGACGGGAAACAGACAACAGUAUUAUAAUAUUUUAAAUAAUGACAAUGACUGGCAUGAUAAAAUAUCCUGCAAAGCUGUUAUUGCUUCUCUUGUUUAAAAUGUUUGCUUAUUGUCUAAAGAAAUAUUUUUAUAAGCGUUUCAUAACUUAUGAACCUUUACUGCUGAUGUGAAUUCUGAAUUAUAGAAAAUGAGAUAUCUACAUUGUGGAAAACCUUUUACAUAAAUGUAAAAACUGAUGCAAGAUGCUUCACAUGUGAAUUACUGUUUAUAUUAUUAUGCUUGCUGUAU